rnacentral:tRNA from 1 species
GUCACGAUCAGAAAGGUGGAAAUCCGGACUGGAUCUGGGAAGCGCUGGUUCAAAUCCAGCUCGUGACA